ensembl:lncRNA
AGCUGCUGCCUAGAGCUUCUACCCCUAAGCUCAGGCCACGGCACCAGGCCCUGCUGGCCCUGGCACUGGCUGGCAGGCCCCCUGGCCCAGAGCUGACCCAUGUCCUUUCCACUCUGCUCCCUGGCAUCUCCACAAUCUGCUGUCCUUUCCUUAGAUAUCCAGUACCCAGGGAUCAUCUCAUACCCAUUUGCCUACUUCAUCCUCUGACAACCUCCAGCUUCUGGGCAAGGUGAUAGCAAGGAGUGAAGAAAGGACAGAAGCUGGCCUUCAAGACAGAGGGCUGCAAUCCUCCUACCAAGCUGUGUGACCUUGGGUGACUUGGCUGGCCCCUCUGGAUGAGUUCUACUUUAAACCUGCUGCUGCUACUGCCUCU